CGGCGGCCGAAGGCCUCGGCCAGGAGCACGAAGGGGCGGAGGGGCCCGACCGGCGGGAGACUUCAGCGAGAGGGCAGCCUGCGUCAGGGCCGGGUCCCCAGGGACCAGAACUGAGUUUCACUGUGGCCGAAGGAGAGCAAAGGAGGGGGAAACGGACGGUGGCGAGCAAGACAGGCGACGACCUGCUGCUGUGAACAGGGAGCCGCGGAGUAGCACCCCUGAGCGACGUCCACCAUAGGGACGUCCACCACCCGGACCGAGAAGGCGCCGCCCGUCCUCGCCCGCGCGGCGCCGUGACCGUCCAGUGGUCAGUACUCUGCGCUGUGGCCGCAGCAACCUCGCUUCGAAUCCGAGUCACGGCCGGCCCUGCACUCACGUGGCCCCCCUUGUCUUUCAAUCCUCACCGCCGCAUCCAGUGCCAAACUUGCAGGUGGCUCCGGAGCUCUCUGGUCUGGAGGAAGAAAGGAAGCCCCGUCCUUGGCCAGGGCUCGGUCAGCAGAGAACCCGAGGAUUGAGGUGCUGCCUCUGAUGCAGUGGUUGUGGUCGACCUCCUUUUUCUGGUUCACAUAUUGCAGUCAUCCGUGGGGUCGUUUUAGACCAAAUAAGAAACGAGAUGAGAUUUGCACUCCAACGAGGCUUUGGAAACAAGGUCGAAUAACCAUAGUAAGUGAAUGACGUUCCCCAACCAAGUGUGUGUGUGUGUGUGUGUGUGUGUGUGUGUCGGGGGUGGGGGGACAAUAAAAACCGCAGCUCACAGAUUAAAUUGCACCCAUCCUCAGUGCAUGGCCCCGUGGAUCGAGUCCAACAGGAACCCUCGUCUAGAGCAAGUGACAGAAAAUUGCCAUCAGCUCAGGAAGUCCGUGGAGUCUGUUUUCCGCCCAUCCCCACAACCUCACUGAAGGGAAUCACCACUGUGUUUUCUAUCUCCAGGGUUAGUUUUGCUUUAUUCUUGAAAUUCUCGAUCAAAUACCAUACUUUUUGGCCAGUGGUUUGCAUUUGGGUUGUUUUUUUGUUUAAUGCAGCAUAAAGUUUCUGCCAUGCAUCCAUUUGUUGUCAGGAUCAGUGUUUUGGUAUUGUCCCAAAAUGUGAAUAUAGUAAAGUGGAUGGAGACCGGUUAUGUCUAGUUGCAGCCCUGGAGAAGAAGGUGG
rnacentral:tRNA from 1 species